rfam:Enterococcus hermanniensis strain DSM 17122 Scaffold13, whole genome shotgun sequence.
GGGGCUGUUACGGAUUCGACAGGCAUAGUUUGAGCUUGAAUUGCGCUUCGUAGGUUACGUCUACGUGAAAACGUUACAGUUAAAUAUAACUGCUAAAAACAACAAUAACUCUUACGCUUUAGCUGCCUAAAAACAGUUAGCGUAGAUCCUCUCGGUAUCGCCCAUGUGCUCGAGUAAGGGUCCUAUUCUAAGUGGGAUACGUUUCAACUUUCCGUCUGCAAGUUGAAAAAGAGCUUAUCAGACUAGCAAUGUUCGCGGCCAGUCAUGCGGCAGAGAACAAAGCGAAACUUAAAUAGUAUGACUAUGAGCGUAGAUUUUUAGGUGGUCGAUAUGUUUGGACGCGGGUUCGACUCCCGCCAGCUCCAUUA